GUUUGAGUGUGAACCACAGAAUGGCCACUCGCAUAUUGUGUGGCUUCUUGUUCCUCCCUGAGCUUCAGUUGUCUUAUUUGCUUAGUGGGGAAGAAUUGAUUCACAUCAAGACUAAAUUGGCUCUUGGCAUUCUGAUUAAGCUGGUGUUUUGGCAGAGGUACAGCCAAGGAGUUAUGGAAAAGAGAUGACCAAGACGUGACUCCUACUCCUACUGUGAGUGAAGCCUGCCACACAAGCCCUACGUUCUUUCUACUGCAGGCACAUGGGUGAGUUUACUCAUUUCCACAUUGUGUCGGUGUCUGAGCUCCAUGCUUCGAAGUACAAAUGGCUCUUGGCCCAUUGGAGCGAGCGCUCACCCUGAGAAGGAAAAUGGAUACUUUCUAAGUCAUCACAGACGCAAGUGAUAAUUGAAGGCAAAGACUUACAAUGAGGAGGAAAAUCACUGGGUAAUGUAGUCAGUUUCCAUUUGAAGUUGAAUCAGAAGGGCCUGCUGGAUAGUCUGUCCUGCUUGCCAUAAGAAAUAGCUUGGUCUACCAGGCUCAAACAGUGGAAAUUUAUCCCAUGUGGUUCUGGAAGAUGGAAGUUUCAGAGCAAGAAGCCAGCAAGAUGCCACGUGACCGGAUGCCUCCUGCACCCGCCACUGUGCCUUCCCCAGGAUGAAUGUACCCUCGAACUCCGAGCCAGCCUGAGUCCCUCCUUCCCUCAGGUGCUUUUGUCUGGCGUUUUGUCUAAGC